rnacentral:rRNA from 1 species
UACGUAGGCAGCGAGCGUUGUUCGGAGUUACUGGGCGUAAAGGGUGUGUAGGCGGUUGUUUAAGUUUGGGGUGAAAUCUCCCGGCUCAACUGGGAGGGUGCGCCGAAUACUGAAUGACUUGGAGUGCGGGAGAGGAGAGUGGAAUUCCUGGUGUAGCGGUGAAAUGCGUAGAUAUCAGGAGGAACACCGGUGGUGCAGACGGCUCUCUGGACCGUAACUGACGCUGAGACACGAAAGCGUGGGUAGCAAACAGG